GUGUCAGCAGCCGCGGUAAAACGUAGGAGCCAAGCGUUAUCCGAAUUCACUGGGCGUAAAGCGCGUGCAGGCGGAGCAGUAAGUUGGAUGUAAAAUCUCCCGGCUCAACUGGGAGAGGCCGUUCAAUACUGCUGUUCUAGAGGGCGACAGAGGGAGGUGGAAUUCCGGGUGUAGUGGUGAAAUGCGUAGAUAUCCGGAGGAACACCAGAGGCGAAGGCGACCUCCUGGGUCGCACCUGACGCUGAGAUGCGAAAGCUAGGGGAGCAAACGGGAUUAGAAACCCUUGUAGUCC
rnacentral:rRNA from 1 species